CGAUUCUCCUGCCUCAGCCUCCUGGCUAGCUGGGAUUACAGAAUGAUCACCCUGGGAUGUACAUGAAGAAUUGAUAAGGUCCUAAGUUAGGACAGUUGCUGUGGGAAUGAAGAAGGAGGGAUGGAAUUGAGAGAUGUUUGAGAUCUAGAACAAACAGAACUUGACAACUGAAGAAAUGUGGGUAAGCCCUAAAGAGAGAUGUGGAAGAAGUGGGGGAGUGAAAAUUAGUGUCUCUAAGUGAACUUGGGAUAUAUGGUUCUAUCUCUUUAAGAGAAAAAAUAAUCCAGAUACAAUAGGAAGCUAAAGGAUUUUUUAAAAUACUCAUUUAAUUGAAUACAAAUAUUCCCUUAAACACUUUUUUUUUUUUUUUUUUUGGAUGGAGGGCCAUAUGGUGCCUUUAAAUAUUUAAGUACUUUUGUGUCAGGGAUAUGUUCCAAAAAUCCGUUGGUAGUUAAUCUCUCUGAAUUAGUGACUCUUCAACUUGGGUUCUUUAGGCACCUGGGAACAAGAAGGACCUGGGCAGGCAGAGCUCAGGGCCACUUCCAGGCUGCAGCAACCACAGCACCACCCUUAUUUGUUGUCACCCUGAGCUUACAUGUGGAAUUUCAGAAAUGGCUCUGGAGCUGUAAAAUCUUCAGAAUCACUAGUCUAAUUAUCAGUUACUCACGUAAUAUGUUUUGUUAAAGUGUUUGGCUGUAGUUCUGUGUUAUGGAGUGUUUCUUUGUUUUGUUUGUGUUUAUUGUUUGUUUCUAUCUUGGAAAAUGGGGCUCCCUUCAGGGGAGCUAUAUUCACAAAUCUGGUAUGUUGUGUCUGAUUCUCUUUAAUGGCAGAGAAAGGUUGUCUUACUUGCCACAUUUUCUGUUUCCUAAUAAACACACAGCCAUCUCAGGCCACAACGGUCCAUGUUUCUCUUAACAAUGGCAUUAGAAUAAAACAUCUGUCACCAGAGCAGUCCACGGGGCCCUUGGUGUUUUUUCCCAUCAGUCCUACUGAGGUGAAAAGUGAAAGCCAGCCACGAAUCAGCUGAGAAUUAGCACAAGCUGUUGUUUUUUGAGUUUUCCAAAUAUUUUCCAACUCCCAUUGUGUGUGUUUGUGUUUUGCACUCAAAACCCUUGCCAAAACCUCCUCCAACAGCAUUCCUUCCUGGAUUCCGAAGUCAUCUGGAGAGCAAACAAAACUCCUCAUAGGUCAUUAAUGUCAUGGAUGUAUUUAUAUUUGUUAAAACAUGAGGAGAGGACUAGAAUACAUAUUUUUGUUACCUUUGGAUCCACAAAUUCAUUUUUUUAAAAUUAAGACCUUUGCAAACUGAAUUUAUAAAAUCUAUGUUUGAUUUGUAUUUGGGGUAUGGUUUCAACUGAAGAAAUACUUAAAAUGUAUUUAAAAUGAAAAUCACACCCUCGUGGAGUUAGCAGGCAUAGAAAUUGAAGAAACGAUAGGUAGAACAAGAAAAGACAGAAAGCUGAGUGACUUAACUACAAAGCACAAGCACAUCCAUAUUUUUCUUUUUCUGAUACAUGUAUUUUACUGCCCAUGGACAGACUACUCUUGGAAAAAAUCUUCUGCGUAUAUCUUUUUUGUUAGAUACUUUGAAUUUUCAGUAUGACCUUUCCCCUGCAACCAUCAUUAAAUUCUCCAAAUAAUAACAAGACAGUUUUCCUUUUUUCUACCUAUGUUUAUGGGAACUGUAUUAAAAUUGAUUAAAAUAAAUCAUGUGUGUUAAGUACUAAUCUCAUUUUCUUUCUUUUAUUCCCAUGGCCAAUGUUAUAGUGUCGAUAUGGAUGCCUUUGUGCCCUAGGGAGACAGAAAACAGAGGUUAUCCAUCUUUGCCAAGGAGAUUGAUGUCUUAGUCAAUAUCAUCGUGGGACACCUGGAAAAACUGGCCAUUCUUCUCCCUAGAACUCCUUCUGAUUUUCAGCUCACCAGGGGUCCUGCUCUUGUUCCUUCCAUUAUUAUAGUCAGAGAAUGUCAAGCUUUAGUAACUCCCUGUACAAAAUGCCCUUGAAGAAAGAUAAGGAAGUCUCAGAAAAGAAUAGGUUCUCAUUAUAAUUCCUCCACUUCCUUGGAAAGUGUUAUUUGACUCAGUUUCCCUCUCACUUGGGGAUAGUGGGUGUCACAGGCAUCCUAGGUCUAUUGCUUUUGAUACUUACUGCAGUCAACACAAUAGUAAGGUCUUUUCUGUGAUAUUCCUUUUGCAUUUUACAUUGUCUCACUAAGUUUCAAAACAUCUAAGAACGACCAUUUCCUUACAUUAUAAUUUAAAGUCAGCUCUCUGCUUUGUAACAAGCCAAUUAGUUCCACCUCGCAACAAAGAGGGGGAGAGAAGCUGUUGUUCUAAAUGUUAGGCCAUUUUUUCUUAUUAUUUUAAAUCAGUGUUCCAUUUUUCCCUGUUGCUUUUUAAACUCAAAACCUGUUGUGUGAUUUUAUUAAAGACUAUGAAAAUGUUUGGGAGGAAAAUGAAAAAUAUCUCCAAACACACUAAUAUUUUAAACCCCUUUGGUACGUACACACAGAAUCUAUUGUAGUUUGCAUGUGGGAUCUUGAUUGUGUAGCUAUGAAUUAUUUAAACACAGCUUAUGCAACAUAGAGAACUAUUGUCUAAAACUAUGAAUAAUCAUUUCCUUAUUUUUGAGGUCGUGUGUUUAUUGGUUCUGCUGAUGUCAUCAAGGGAUAUUUUAUUCUCUACUGGCCUAGCUUUCAGACUUGCUUCUGGCUUUGACUGCCGGUCUAUUAACAAGUUUUUCUGAAUUCAACCUGUUCCACGUGGAAACCGUGUCACAUGUGACAAAACAAUAACCCACAUACCACAAACUUCAGGUCCUGCAUUUCAAAGGAAAUUUUCCCCAAAGUUCACCUAGUGAGGAGUAAUUAGAAUCAUUGGAUCUUGAAACAUGGGCAUUUGAGUGAUGAGCCAGGAGCCAUGAAAAAUAUGAUUCAGGAUGGUGCAUAAUUACUCUUCCAGAUGUUUGAAGUGUGUUAAGAGGAAGACAGAGUCCAUGUCUUCAUGUGGCUUCAAAGAGCAAAAUUCUGGCCAGCAGCUCACUACAGGUGACCUCCAGACACUCUUGACUUCAUCUUCUUACCUUCCCCUUGAGGCUGAAUCUCUAUGUCAGAGAUCAUGAAGAUUGGGGUUGGAAAUUGCUUGUCCCUGGUAAGUAAGAAAUGGCCUCAAGUGGCCCAAUUCACAAGCCAGAAUUCUGUCCAACCUUGCAUAACAUACUCAACUGGAAACUACAGUUUUUGCUUCUCAUUAACACCCAGGAUGUCUGGUAGUGUUAACAGGCCAUGAUUCACCAGGUGCCUGGCCUGCUCUGCCCUGCCCUGACAGCCUGCCCACUGACCUACAGAGAAGGCCACAGCUAUGCACCAGCAGCUCUGGGCGUUCUUUCUUAGCUCUAGCUUCUAGCACUCAUCUAGCAUUUCUGAUUUCUAACUUCCUGCCUGCAAUAUUUAUGGAUCGUGUUUCUGCCUUGUCCUUGGCAAUGGCUGUUUCAUGUGGACUGCCUGCUUGGUGUUCAGUCUGGCCUUGCUCAUCCUCAGCUCCAUGAUCCGUGGGCCAGCACCAAAUCACUCCUGGUCCUACCUGGCCUGUGUCUGACAACCCAGGUUCUUGUUUGUCUAGGAGGGAAGUUCAGACAUUCAAUCCCUUCACUGCCAGUUGCGUGAAUUUAUCAUUAACUUAUUGUCUGUGGCUGUGGCUGUGGCUGGAACAUGAUCCUUGCUGGGGGGGUCCACCAUCAAUCCUGGCUGGUUUCACAGAGCCGAGUGUUCUAAGUUCAAGGGAACAUGAGGGGUGUGCUUCCCACCCUCCUCUGCUGGAUGGUGGCCGCUGCUGACUGGAGAUGAGGAGGGAAGAGAUUCUGCCUGUGGCUUACAGGAACUUUCUAGUUACAGGGCAGCCAGCCACUUCCUAGCAUCACAGAACACCAUAGCUCCCCCUGGCAAGAGAUGGCCAACAAUAUCAGCCAGAGGCUCCAUGGUUACAAGGUGGGUUGGGGAGGAUGGAUGCACUGCCAAGGCAUGAAACCUUGACAUAGAAAUACAAUGCAAACUGGCACUACAGGGAAAGCCCUGGAAAGGUCUCCUGAGAGUGUCCCAAUGCCCUGAAUGUCCCAGUCUCCUAAAGCUCAUAUUUUGAGAAUAAAACUCUUCUUGACCAUUCAUUCCUGCCCCCUCCAAACAUGAUGAUUCCCUUCUUUUCCUCCUCUCACAGGGGGAUUUUCUUUUUGCCUGUAAGUGCCCACAACCUUCUGACACCCACAAUAUGGGCCCAUUGACAUGUUGGGUGGCCAGCCUUUGCUGGGUAAAGUUCCUGUUUUCAGUGCCUAGUCCUGGGAGGUUCUCCUGCCUCACUGCUCCUCCCUGCAUUGUACCCCAGCUCUCAGUCUCAGGAAGAGGUGGUUACCAUUGCACUGAAGUGCCAGACUUGGCGAUGUUGGGGUGCUUCAUGGACCAAGGUGUGGUCAGUCAGCCUCCAUUUCUACUUCCUGGGAGGCAUGGACCCCAUUGCCUCCCGUUUGAGGAAACCAGUGGUCUGUGGGAAAACCAUGUCAUUAUGUCUUUUCUUGAGCUGCCCCUGCUGUAGUCUGAACUAUCCUACCAUGCAGUUGUCUUUCAGAGAGGCAGUCCCUCAGCCUCUGUCAGAAGUGAUAGCUCUGUCUCCAUCAGCUUCCACCUUCACUGUAGCCAUCAUGCCAGGGAUGCCAGUCCAGCUUGUCUAUUGUAGGAAGGCAUUUGCAGUUGUAGAGAAAGAAAAAUGGACUCAUUGAUUGGAGUGUUAUUGUGAAAUCAUGCUGGAGUGGUGGGCUGUUCACUGAUAGGUGGAUAUAAUUUUCUGAGCCUGAUGUUGGUGCCCUCCACAAAUAUGUGGAUGCCACCUCAUGGAAGGGUUCAUCAGGCUCUCCAUCUCUCAGAGCUAGCGUGUGACCCUGUGAAGUUGCUUAUCUUUGACUGUCUUAAGUAUCUAAUGUUUGGCAUAAGGCCUUCUAGUUGGCGUGUCUGCAGUCUACUCAAGAACCCUACCCUAACAUGUCAUGAACUCGGUUCCUGCAGUCUCUAUCAGCUGUGGCAGGGGAUGGUGAUAUGGUUUGGCUCUGUGUCCCCAUCCAAAUCUCAUUUUAGAUUGUAAUCCUUAUAAGGGAUUGGCGAAGGAG